rnacentral:rRNA from 1 species
AUGUGCAUACCAGAUAAGAAAGGUGGCAUGGGUUUUAGAGAUAUACGUUGCUUUAACCUUGCAUUAUUGGCUAAACAAGCUUGUCAUCUCAUUGAUAACCCAGAUUCCCAAUGUGCAUAGAUCUUGAAGGAGAAAUAUUACCGAGAUGGUGAUCUUAUGUGUGCAACGUUGAAAAAGAAAGCUUCAUAUACUUGGCAAAGUAUUAUGGCUGGUGUUGAAACCUUGAAACUUGGGCAUAUAUGGAGAGUAGGGGAUGGGUAGAAAAUCAAUAUUUGGGAGGAUGAUUGGAUCCCACAAUCUCCAUCAAGGAAGGUGAUUACAACUAGAAACAACAUGCUGACUCGUGUGAGUGAUCUUAUAGACCCUGCAUUAGGCGAUUGGGAUGAACUACUGGUGAGGCAAAUGUUUUGGGAGAUGGAUGUCCAACGGAUCCUUGCAAUACCCCUUCCCUUGCAUGAAAUGAGAGAUUUCCUGGUGUGGAAUUGUACAAAAUCAGGGACUUUGCAGUGCGCUCGGCCUAUCAUUUUUUAUGGCAAUCCUAGUUUGGCCACAAGUUAUAGAAUUCUGGGACUCGAUUUGGAGCCUAUGGUGUCCAACUAA